rnacentral:tRNA from 1 species
GGGCCGAUGGUGGAAUUGGUAGACACGCUAGAUUUAGGUUCUAGUGCCGCGAGGUGUGAAGGUUCAAGUCCUUUUCGGCCUACCA